GAAGUUUAUGUUCUCUGUCACAAACUCCAUUUUCGUAUUCCAUGGACAGCUCUCACUAAUCUGAUCAUAACUCUCUGCUCACAACUCCGAUUCAGAAAAACGAGUUUGAAGUUGGAAGAUCCAUGCUGAAUGUGUGUCAAAGAUUGGCUACGGGUUUGAUGAAGAUGUAGUGAAACUUUGGCUAUGGUGGGAGUUCAAUGGCAGCAAAGAACUUCUUUCUAACCUCCCUAAAUCCAAGGUGCAGUUUAGUAGCGUUUGACAGAUAGCAGGUUCGGAUUGACGACUUAAAGUGGUGAUGGCUCGGAGACCUCGUCAGAUCUCAUUUUCCGCUGUGCAGAUCCAUGAAGACACAUGUUUUGUAAUUAUUAAUAUUAUUUCAUGUUGUAUUUAUAUGGAUCAUCUUGUAUCUUUAGCUUUUGUAUGUACUCAAAUACCGAUUUUUAACGUUUCAUGCAUAAUA